GACGACGCUGGCGGCGUGCCUGACACAUGCAAGUCGGACGGAGGACUUCGGUCCUUAGUGGCAAACGGGUGAGUAAUGGAUAGGUUAUCUACCGGGAAGAGGGGGAUACCCCCUCGAAAGAGGGAUCAAUACCCCGUACGCUCCUCACGGAGGAAAGGCGGAGCAAUCCGCCGCUUUCUGAUGAGCCUAUCUCCUAUCAGCUAGUUGGUAAGGUAAUGGCUUACCAAGGCUAUGACGGGUAGCUGGUCUGAGAGGAUGAUCAGCCACACUGGAACUGAGACACGGUCCAGACUCCUACGGGAGGCAGCAGUGGGGAAUUUUGGGCAAUGAGCGAAAGCUUGACCCAGCGACACUGCGUGGGCGAAGAAGAUCUUUGGAUUGUAAAGCCCUUUUGUUGGGGAGUAAGCGAAUGCGCAGGAAAUGGCGUGUUCGUUGCAAGUACCCGACGAAUAAGCCCCAGCCAACUACGUG
rnacentral:rRNA from 1 species